rnacentral:rRNA from 1 species
UACGUAGGCAGCGAGCGUUGUUCGGAGUUACUGGGCGUAAAGGGUGUGUAGGCGGUUGUUUAAGUUUGGUGUGAAAUCUCCCGGCUCAACUGGGGGGUGCGCCGAAUACUGAAUGACUUCGAGUGCGGGAGAGGAGAGUGGAAUUCCUGGUGUAGCGGUGAAAUGCGUAGAUAUCAGGAGGAACACCGGUGGUGUAGACGGCUCUCUGGACCGUAACUGACGCUGAGACACGAAAGCGUGGGGAGCAAACAGG